rnacentral:misc_RNA from 1 species
GAUGAAGAACGCAGUGAAAUGCGAUAAGUAAUGUGAAUUGCAGAAUUCAGUGAAUCAUCGAAUCUUUGAACGCACAUUGCGCCCGCCAGUAUUCUGGCGGGCAUGCCUGUCCGAGCGUCAUUUCAACCCUCGAACCCCUCCGGGGGGUCGGCGUUGGGGAUCGGCCCUUUCACCGGGUGCCGGCCCCUAAAUACAGUGGCGGUCUCGCCGCAGCCUCUCAUGCGCAGUAGUUUGCACACUCGCACCGGGAGCGCGGCGCGUCCACGUCCGUAAAACACCCCAACUUCUGAAAUGUUGACCUCGGAUCAGGUAGGAAUACCCGCUGAACUUAAGCAUAUCAAAGCGGAGGA